AUUCAACGCUGGCGGCAGGCCUAACACAUGCAAGUCGAGCGGAGCGGCAGACGGGUGCGUAAUGCCUAGGAAUCUGCCUGGUAGUGGGGGAGCACGUCCGGAAACGGGAGCUAAUACCGCCUCCUAUUAGAUGCGCCUAGGUCGGGUUAGCUAGUUGGUGGGGUAAAGGCCUACCAAGGCGACGAUCCGUAACUGGUCUGAGAGGCUGAUCAGUCACACUGGAACGGAGACACGGUCCAGACUCCUACGGGAGGCAGCGGUGGGGAAUAUUGGACAAUGGGCGAAAGCCUGAUACAGCCAGGCCGCGUGUGUGAAGAAGGUCUUCGGAUUGUAAAGUACGUUAAGUUGGGAGGCGUUACCAACAGAAUAAGCACCGGCUAACUUCGUGCCAGCCGCCGCGGUAAUAC
rnacentral:rRNA from 1 species